rnacentral:rRNA from 1 species
GACGAACGCUGGCGGCGUGCUUAACACAUGCCAGUCGAACGAAGAGCGAUGGAAGCUUGCUUCUAUCAAUCUUAGUGGCGAACGGGUGAGUAACGCGUAAUCAACCUGCCCUUCAGAGGGGGACAACAGUUGGAAACGACUGCUAAUACCGCAUACGAUCUAAUCUCGGCAUCGAGGAUAGAUGAAAGGUGGCCUCUACAUGUAAGCUAUCACUGAAGGAGGGGAUUGCGUCUGAUUAGCUAGUUGGAGGGGUAACGGCCCACCAAGGCGAUGAUCAGUAGCCGGUCUGAGAGGAUGAACGGCCACAUUGGGACUGAGACACGGCUCAGACUCCUACGGGAGGCAGCAGUGGGGAAUCUUCCGCAAUGGACGAAAGUCUGACGGAGCAACGCCGCGUGAGUGAUGACGGCCUUCGGGUUGUAAAGCUCUGUUAAUCGGGACGAAAGGCCUUCUUGCGAAUAGUGAGAAGGAUUGACGGUACCGGAAUAGAAAGCCACGGCUAACUACGUG